GAUGAACGCUGGCGGCGUGCCUAAUACAUGCAAGUCGAGCGAACAGACGAGGAGCUUGCUCCUCUGACGUUAGCGGCGGACGGGUGAGUAACACGUGGAUAACCUACCUAUAAGACUGGGAUAACUUCGGGAAACCGGAGCUAAUACCGGAUAAUAUAUUGAACCGCAUGGUUCAAUAGUGAAAGACGGUUUUGCUGUCACUUAUAGAUGGAUCCGCGCCGCAUUAGCUAGUUGGUAAGGUAACGGCUUACCAAGGCAACGAUGCGUAGCCGACCUGAGAGGGUGAUCGGCCACCCUGGAGCUGAGACACGGUCCAGACUCCUACGGGAGGCAGCAGUAGGGAAUCUUCCGCAAUGGGCGAAAGCUUGACGGAGCAACGCCGCGUGAGUGAUGAAGGUCUUCGGAUCGUAAAACUCUGUUAUUAGGGAAGAACAAAUGUGUAAGUAACUAUGCACGUCUUGACGGUACCUAAUCAGAAAGCCACGGCUAACUACGUG
rnacentral:rRNA from 1 species